UGCGGCCGUGGCGAAACUGGCAGACGCGCAAGGUUGAGGGCCUUGUGGGAGUUAAUCCCGUGGAGGUUCGAGUCCUCUCGGCCGCAUC
rnacentral:tRNA from 1 species